UGAGGAAUAUUGGGCAAUGCCCGCAAGGGUGACCCAGCAACGCCGCGUGGAGGAUGAAUGUCGUAAGAUUGUAAACUCCUGUUAGAGGGGAAGAAUAGUACCGGUUGGACCGGUAUAUGACUGUACCCUCAGAGAAAGCCCCGGCUAACUACGUGCCAGCAGCCGCGGUAAUACGUAGGGGGCAAGCGUUGUCCGGAUUUACUGGGUGUAAAGGGUGCUCAGGCGGAUUUGUAAGUAAGAGGUGAAAUCUUACAGCUUAACUGUGAAACUGCCUUUGAUACUGCAAGCCUAGAGUAUUGUAGAGAGUGAUAGAAUAUCUGGUGUAGCAGUGAAAUGCGUAGAUAUCAGAUAGAACACCAAUGGCGAAGGCAGUCACGUGGUCCAUUACUGACGCUAAAGCACGAAAGCGUUGGUAGCAAACA
rnacentral:rRNA from 1 species